rnacentral:tRNA from 1 species
GGGCCCUUAGCUCAGUUGGUAGAGCGCUUCAUUUGCAAUGAAGAUGUCAGCGGUUCGAAUCCGCUAGGGUCCA